rnacentral:lncRNA from 1 species
CUUGCAUGCCAACACCUCUCCAGCUAACUUAUCAGAGCAAGCCCUAAUAACACCAAACUGUCCCCAACCCAACUGCUCCCCAAGAACAAAUCGGUCUUUCAAAUUUGAGGUCUGGUCUGUGUCCAAUAUGGUUUCCUUCAAGCUUUCAACUUUGUAACAAUGAGGGGCUUUGGUCGAUGAUUCACUGCUGCUGUUGCUCUUGGCAACAGCCAUACCAAAUUUCCAGCACCUGAUUGAUCCAGAAGUAAUAAUCGAGAUCCCAGAUUAUGAUUCUUGCAAUAUAACACAGCUUUUUUUGAGACAGUCUUCCAAUAAAUGGGAAUACUAAAUUUGUUGGUCAAAAUUUUGAUCUUUUCUUAGACACCCACAUUUUCCAAAACCACACUUGGGUCAAAUUACAGAAAUAAGUUUCCCGUAGUUAGUAGUUGAAGCUUGACAAGGAUGCUUACCACGUAACCAACAGCCUAUGGCGUAUAUGGACAGAUAUUUAAAAAAUAAAACCCAAUAUAAGAAAAAUUCAAACCCUGAACCCCAAAUUUCUUUGAUCUCAGCUGAAUCACCAGGAUCUGAAACACAAUUAAAUUCACCAAAUUCAGAACUAUAUUUAAAUAGCAAACACUAAACCUACUUCAACAUUAAUCAAAUAAUUAAUAUAAAAAAAAAAACAAAUUUGAGCAAAUUCUCUGACAGAUCAUAUAUUUUAUUAAAAUAAUUAUUUGAACUAAACAAGCUUCAAUUCAAGCUCACAACAGAAUUCAAAUUUAAUACAAAAAAAAAGCAAAAAAAAAAAACAAAAAAGGCAUCAACUCAUUGGGGAAGAUCCACCAGACAACUCUAAUCACAAACCCUAAUCAUAAAACCAAAAAUAAAAAAUAAAAAAGGCAUGCUAAGCCCAGAUCACCUCAAAACAAGAAAGCCAUUCACGACCAAUAACAAAAUUAGCAUAAACCUAUUAGAACUCAGUUCAAAAAACGACAACCCAGAUCCGAACUUCUUACAAAAUCAAAGGAAAAAAAUGCAAACAAGUAAAGUAAAACUGACGUAGUAUACACAACCAACAAGACGACUGAUAAAAGCCAUUAAAAUUCAGCUCAGAAAAAGACAACUCAGAUCCAAACUUCACACGAAAACAAACAAGAAAACAGCACAACAUCCAAAACCCACAUUUCCGAAAACAAACACAGAAAAAAAGAGUAGUGAAAGAAAGAGAAAAACCUUGAGAGACAGAGAGAGCGACACAGAAGAGAAGAAUUAGAAAAAGAAGAAGACGACGAAGAAUGAGAAGUCCGUUGGAGGAGUAGCCCAAGCCCUCCAACCAAAGGGCCUCUCUGUGGGGCUCUCCUGGUCUCUCCCCA